GAACACAAAAUGGCGACACGUGGUUAGCAUUCGUCGCCAACGAGAAAUUGGGGUCGGCCCGAAAGCUCUAGAAUGCACCCCUCUUCCUCCCCGGGGCCUUCCACCUCCGCGAGUUUUAUGACUUAAAAAAGCCCACAGGCUGGUCUGAAGAGGAAGACAAACAUAAAGAUGAAGUGCUUAAUUCAAGGUCACACAAUGUCGGGGAUGGACCUCCAGAUUUCCUUACUGACCUGCAUUAUCUUGUGGAUACCUGAGUGAAUUCCACACCACCCAUUUUAUAGAUGAAACCACUGAGACAUGGAGCAAUUGACUGAGUAGUCACUGCCCCACCCCUGCCUGGAGCCUCACACAUGACUCGCCUCCUCUCAGUGACCACAGGAAAACAAGCUCAGGGCUCCCACUGAUUGUACAUUAUGGUGAGACGUGGUCUUGUAACACAGUGGUUAAGAAUGUGACUUUGGAGCCAGCCUGCUAGGGGCUGAAUUCUGACUCAGCCAUUUACUAACUGUGUGACCUUAGGUGGAGUCUCACUCUGUAGCCCAAGCUGGAGUGGCGUGAUCUCGACUCACUGCAACCUCCGCCUCCUGGGAUCAAGUGAUUCUCGUGCCUCAGCCUCCUGAGUAGCCGGGACUACAGUUGUCCCUUGGUGUGGGAUUGCUUCCAGUACCUCUGUGUGUAACAAAAGCUGCACCAUUCAAGUCCCACAGUUGCCCUGCGAAACCUCUGUAUAUGAAAAGUUGGCCCUCCAUGUACAUGGGUUUCCCAUCCUGUCACAGAAUUUUCCACACUCCUUGACAGAGGUGCUUAACCCUUAUCCAUCAGCAUUCUCAGACAGCACCUCCGGUUAGGGACAGUAUCUGACCGUCCGACAUCCCUGCAGCCCCCAU
rnacentral:lncRNA from 10 species